GACGAACGCUGGCGGCGUGCUUAACACAUGCAAGUCGAACGGAAAGGCCCUGCUUUUGUGGGGUGCUCGAGUGGCGAACGGGUGAGUAACACGUGAGUAACCUGCCCUUGACUUUGGGAUAACUUCAGGAAACUGGGGCUAAUACCGGAUAGGAGCUCCUGCUGCAUGGUGGGGGUUGGAAAGUUUCGGCGGUUGGGGAUGGACUCGCGGCUUAUCAGCUUGUUGGUGGGGUAGUGGCUUACCAAGGCUUUGACGGGUAGCCGGCCUUAGAGGGUGACCGGCCACAUUGGGACUGAGAUACGGCCCAGUCUCCUACGGGAGGCAGCAGUGGGGAAUAUUGCACAAUGGGCGGAAGCCUGAGGCAGCAACGCCGCGUGCGGGAUGACGGCCUUCGGGUUGUAAACCGCUUUCGCCUGUGACGAAGCGUGAGUGACGGUAAUGGGUAAAGAAGCACCGGCUAACUACGUG
rnacentral:rRNA from 1 species